GGCACAUGCAAAGCUGCAAAUAUGUUUCCAGAUUCUGCCCAGGUUCAUUUAUUUCUGAAGGGGAGAGAACCUCUUCACGCAAAAAGCUCCAGGUUCUGUUGCCUUUGUCCAGCAUCGUUUGUGAUGUCGAACUGUUCAGAUUCCCUUCGGUUAGCAUAGAUUCCAGAACAUACCUACACGAGGUCAUUAUCACAUACAUCCCACAUUCUGCCUGUUAAGUUGUGGGCGAACAUAGCAGACGACACAGUGAUUCUUCAAACAGCUCUUCUUUAUUCAGAUGUCAGAACAGAACUGAGCUGAGGGGCUCAGUCAGCCUGCUUAUAUAGAGCUCCAGAACAAUGUAACUGUUGCCAUUUUCUAAAACUAUCCAAUCACUGAACGUCACUUUUCGAUCCUUCAUUUGCAUACAAACUAUCCAAUCACUGAACGUCACUUUUCGAUCCUUCAUUUGCAUAACUAUCUACAGUAUCCCCCUGCUGGCCCAGGGUGAGAACUUCAGUACAUAACACUGCCCAAAACUUUAGCCACAUUCCCCUUUCUUUAUGUCUGACUCUGACAACUUUACUUCUCCUGAGACUACUCAUCUCCUUUCUAUCUAAAAUCAAGGUCCACAUCCUGUCCAAAACCAAAACUUUCAGUCACAUCUUUCCAUGUAUUAAGUUUUCUCCCAGCCUUGCACUUUUAUUCCUCAUCAGGAUCCAUUUUCUGAAAAUAUUUAUCUUCCGCAAACUCUUUGUAAAUGAGCAUCAACUUUGCAGAUUCCCAGAAGACCUUAUACCUGUGUCCUUGAUGGUGAGCGAGGAGAGACUUUGUGCUGGUCAUCAGGCAAUGGUGUUUCCACUGCUUUGCGUUACCCUCCAGCCCUAGGAGCCUUCAUGAGGGAGCUGUUUCCAGAGGAAGAACUGUGAGGGGGGAGAGAUUUGUCUGUCAUCCUACAGUGCUUGGUUUCACCUGUGCUGUCGCACCUCCAGCCCAAGGAACCUGCAGAUUGGAGUUGCUACCAUAGGCAUUAUGUGUCUGUGUCUUUUAAUGGACUGAAUAGAAUGAUAGAUUUUGGGGUGAGGGGA